rnacentral:rRNA from 1 species
GGUUAAGCGACUAAGCGUACACGGUGGAUGCCCUGGCAGUCAGAGGCGAUGAAGGACGUGCUAAUCUGCGAUAAGCGUCGGUAAGGUGAUAUGAACCGUUAUAACCGGCGAUUUCCGAAUGGGGAAACCCAGUGUGAUUCGUCACACUAUCAUUAACUGAAUCCAUAGGUUAAUGAGGCGAACCGGGGGAACUGAAACAUCUAAGUACCCCGAGGAAAAGAAAUCAACCGAGAUUCCCCCAGUAGCGGCGAGCGAACGGGGAGCAGCCCAGAGCCUGAAUCAGUGUGUGUGUUAGUGGAAGCGUCUGGAAAGGCGCGCGAUACAGGGUGACAGCCCCGUACACAAAAAUGCACAUACUGUGAGCUCGAUGAGUAGGGCGGGACACGUGGUAUCCUGUCUGAAUAUGGGGGGACCAUCCUCCAAGGCUAAAUACUCCUGACUGACCGAUAGUGAACCAGUACCGUGAGGGAAAGGCGAAAAGAACCCCGGCGAGGGGAGUGAAAAAGAACCUGAAACCGUGUACGUACAAGCAGUGGGAGCACGCUUAGGCGUGUGACUGCGUACCUUUUGUAUAAUGGGUCAGCGACUUAUAUUCUGUAGCAAGGUUAACCGAAUAGGGGAGCCGAAGGGAAACCGAGUCUUAACUGGGCGUUAAGUUGCAGGGUAUAGACCCGAAACCCGGUGAUCUAGCCAUGGGCAGGUUGAAGGUUGGGUAACACUAACUGGAGGACCGAACCGACUAAUGUUGAAAAAUUAGCGGAUGACUUGUGGCUGGGGGUGAAAGGCCAAUCAAACCGGGAGAUAGCUGGUUCUCCCCGAAAGCUAUUUAGGUAGCGCCUCGUGAAUUCAUCUCCGGGGGUAGAGCACUGUUUCGGCAAGGGGGUCAUCCCGACUUACCAACCCGAUGCAAACUGCGAAUACCGGAGAAUGUUAUCACGGGAGACACACGGCGGGUGCUAACGUCCGUCGUGAAGAGGGAAACAACCCAGACCGCCAGCUAAGGUCCCAAAGUCAUGGUUAAGUGGGAAACGAUGUGGGAAGGCCCAGACAGCCAGGAUGUUGGCUUAGAAGCAGCCAUCAUUUAAAGAAAGCGUAAUAGCUCACUGGUCGAGUCGGCCUGCGCGGAAGAUGUAACGGGGCUAAACCAUGCACCGAAGCUGCGGCAGCGACGCUUAUGCGUUGUUGGGUAGGGGAGCGUUCUGUAAGCCUGCGAAGGUGUGCUGUGAGGUAUGCUGGAGGUAUCAGAAGUGCGAAUGCUGACAUAAGUAACGAUAAAGCGGGUGAAAAGCCCGCUCGCCGGAAGACCAAGGGUUCCUGUCCAACGUUAAUCGGGGCAGGGUGAGUCGACCCCUAAGGCGAGGCCGAAAGGCGUAGUCGAUGGGAAACAGGUUAAUAUUCCUGUACUUGGUGUUACUGCGAAGGGGGGACGGAGAAGGCUAUGUUGGCCGGGCGACGGUUGUCCCGGUUUAAGCGUGUAGGCUGGUUUUCCAGGCAAAUCCGGAAAACUAAGGCUGAGGCGUGAUGACGAGGCACUACGGUGCUGAAGCAACAAAUGCCCUGCUUCCAGGAAAAGCCUCUAAGCAUCAGGUAACAUCAAAUCGUACCCCAAACCGACACAGGUGGUCAGGUAGAGAAUACCAAGGCGCUUGAGAGAACUCGGGUGAAGGAACUAGGCAAAAUGGUGCCGUAACUUCGGGAGAAGGCACGCUGAUAUGUAGGUGAAGUCCCUCGCGGAUGGAGCUGAAAUCAGUCGAAGAUACCAGCUGGCUGCAACUGUUUAUUAAAAACACAGCACUGUGCAAACACGAAAGUGGACGUAUACGGUGUGACGCCUGCCCGGUGCCGGAAGGUUAAUUGAUGGGGUCAGCGCAAGCGAAGCUCUUGAUCGAAGCCCCGGUAAACGGCGGCCGUAACUAUAACGGUCCUAAGGUAGCGAAAUUCCUUGUCGGGUAAGUUCCGACCUGCACGAAUGGCGUAAUGAUGGCCAGGCUGUCUCCACCCGAGACUCAGUGAAAUUGAACUCGCUGUGAAGAUGCAGUGUACCCGCGGCAAGACGGAAAGACCCCGUGAACCUUUACUAUAGCUUGACACUGAACAUUGAGCCUUGAUGUGUAGGAUAGGUGGGAGGCUUUGAAGUGUGGACGCCAGUCUGCAUGGAGCCGACCUUGAAAUACCACCCUUUAAUGUUUGAUGUUCUAACGUUGACCCGUAAUCCGGGUUGCGGACAGUGUCUGGUGGGUAGUUUGACUGGGGCGGUCUCCUCCUAAAGAGUAACGGAGGAGCACGAAGGUUGGCUAAUCCUGGUCGGACAUCAGGAGGUUAGUGCAAUGGCAUAAGCCAGCUUGACUGCGAGCGUGACGGCGCGAGCAGGUGCGAAAGCAGGUCAUAGUGAUCCGGUGGUUCUGAAUGGAAGGGCCAUCGCUCAACGGAUAAAAGGUACUCCGGGGAUAACAGGCUGAUACCGCCCAAGAGUUCAUAUCGACGGCGGUGUUUGGCACCUCGAUGUCGGCUCAUCACAUCCUGGGGCUGAAGUAGGUCCCAAGGGUAUGGCUGUUCGCCAUUUAAAGUGGUACGCGAGCUGGGUUUAGAACGUCGUGAGACAGUUCGGUCCCUAUCUGCCGUGGGCGCUGGAGAACUGAGGGGGGCUGCUCCUAGUACGAGAGGACCGGAGUGGACGCAUCACUGGUGUUCGGGUUGUCAUGCCAAUGGCACUGCCCGGUAGCUAAAUGCGGAAGAGAUAAGUGCUGAAAGCAUCUAAGCACGAAACUUGCCCCGAGAUGAGUUCUCCCUGACCCUUUAAGGGUCCUGAAGGAACGUUGAAGACGACGACGUUGAUAGGCCGGGUGUGUAAGCGCAGCGAUGCGUUGAGCUAACCGGUACUAAUGAACCGUGAGGCUUAACCUU